UGCAGUUGAGCGGGGUUCUGCAGAGUAUCGCAAGACCUAGCGGCAAACGGGUGAGUAACACAUGGGAAACCUCCCUCAGAAUGGGGAAUAUUUCCGAGAAAUCGGAGUCAAUACCGCAUAAGACCACAGUUUGGCAUCAAACAGAGGUCAAAGCAGCAAUGCGUUUUGAGAUGGUCCUGUGUCCUGUCAGCUAGUUGGUGGUGUAAUGGACUACCAAGGCUAUGACGGGUAUCCGGCCUGAAAGGGUGAACGGACACACUGGAACUGAGACACGGUCCAGACUCCUACGGGAGGCAGCAGUGGGGAAUUUUGGACAAUGGGGGAAACCCUGAUCCAGCGACGCCGCGUGGAGGACGAAGUUCUUCGGAUUGUAAACUCCUUUUAGAGGGGAAGAAUAAAUUGACGGUACCCUCAGAAAAAGCCACGGCUAACUACGUGCCAGCAGCCGCGGUAAUACGUAGGUGGCGAGCGUUACUCGGAAUUACUAGGCGUAAAGCGUAUGUAGGCGGUCGGAUAAGUCUUUGGUGAAAUUUCUCGGCUCAACCGGGAAAGGCACAAGGAUACUGUUCGGCUUGAGUGUGGUAGGGGGAGAUGGAAUUCCUGGUGUAGCGGUGAAAUGCGUAGAUAUCAGGAGGAACACCGAUGGCGAAAGCAGUCUCCUGGACCAAUACUGACGCUAAUGUACGAAAGCUAGGGUAGCAAACAGGAUUAGAUACCCUGGUAGUCCUAGCUGUAAACGAUGUUCACUAGAUGUGGGAGAAUUAACCCUUCCGCGUCGACGCUAACGCAUUAAGUGAACCGCCUGGGGAGUACGGCCGCAAGGUUGAAACUCAAAGGAAUUGACGGGGGCCCGCACAAGCGGUGGAGUAUGUGGUUUAAUUCGACGCAACGCGAAAAACCUUACCUGGGCUUGAACUGCUAAUGGUAAAAGCCGGAAACGGUAAUGACCCGCAAGGGAGUUAGCAGAGGUGCUGCAUGGCUGUCGUCAGCUUCGUGUCCUGAAAUGUUGGGGUUAAGUCCCCGCAACGAGCGCCAACCCCUCAUUUCUAUGUUAACCUGGUAGCAAUACAAGGGUCUCUUAGGAAACUGCCAUCGAUAAGAUGGAGGAAGGUGGGGACGACGUCAAGUCAUCAUGGCCUUUAUGUCCAGGGCUACACACGUACUACAAUGGUCGGUACAGAGGGAAGCGAAGACCUUAAGGUGGAGCAAAUCUCACAAAGCCGGCUUCAGUUCAGGAUUGUGGGCUGCAAUUCGCCCACAUGAAGUAGGAAUCGCUAGUAUUCGCAGAUCAGCACGCUGCGGUGAAUACGUUCCCGGGCCUUGUACACACCGCCGGUCACACCACGAAAGUCAGUCAUAACAGAAAGUCGUUGAGCUAACCGCAAGGAGGGCAGGCGCCUAAGUUAUGGUUGGUGAUUGGGGUGAAAGUCGUAACAAGGUAGCCGUACGAGAACGUGCGGCUGGAUCACCUCCUUUUUAUAAACUUUAUAUAUCGGGUGUUAAUGGUUAAUGCUUUGAAUUAUGGUCUUUUAUGGGGCGUUUGUCUGUGUGUUAUUUAGUUAAUUAUUUUUCCUGCUCAUUCUAUAUGAUAGGGAAUUUAUGCGCUGUUAAAGACUAUAUCUCAGUAUGGCAAAGUGAGAAAUGUAUAGCGGGCCUAUAGCUCAGUUAGUCAGAGCGCACCCCUGAUAAGGGUGAGGUCUGUGGUGCAAAUCCACAUAGGCCCAUCAAUGUUGGAAUUGUUGAUGAAUGGGGAUAUAGCUCAACUGGGAGAGCGCCUGCUUUGCAAGCAGGAGGUUGCGAGUUCGACCCUCGCUAUCUCCAUAAUACGAAUGUUUCAUCUCUUUACAAUAUUUGGAUUAUGGUAAAGAGAUAAAUAAUAGUUGUAAUUGUUCAUUGAAAACUUAAUAAAGGUAAAUCAAGCGUCUUCAAAAUUAAUUUUUUGAAACAUAAGUAAGAAGUAAAUUUAAUGAAGGUCAUAUAACAUUUGUUUAAGUUUUUUAAUUUUAAUUAAAAGAUGAUAGCAAGUGAGAUUAGUUAAUGUGACCAAGCUAUUAAGUGCAUAUGGUGGAUGCCUAGUUAAUGUGACCAAGCUAUUAAGUGCAUAUGGUGGAUGCCUUGGCUAAGACUGUCGAAGAAGGACGUGGUAAGCUGCGUUAAGCGUCGGGGAGGAGCAAACAUCCUGUGAUCCGGCGAUUUCCGAAUGGGGUAACCCACUAAGGAGUUAAUCCUUAGUAUCCGAAAGGAAGGCAACCGGGGAAGUGAAACAUCUCAGUACCCGGAGGAAAAAGAAAUCCACCGAGACUACCGAGAGUAGUGGCGAGCGAAAUCGGUAUAGCCCAAACCGUUGUGUUUACACAACGGGGUUUGCAGGACCGCAUAAGUAGAGUUAUCAAUCAGAAAGCUAGUCGAACGGUUUGGAAAGUCCGACCAUAGAAGGUGAAAGUCCUGUAAGCGAAAGUUUUCUGACUCGAAGCGGUAUCCUAAGUACCAUCGGACACGUGAAAUCCGGUGGGAAUCUGGGGGGACCACCCUCCAAGGCUAAAUACAAGUCUUAGACCGAUAGUGAACCAGUACCGUGAGGGAAAGGCGAAAAGAACCGCGGAAGCGGAGUGAAAUAGAACCUGAAACCGUAUGCAUACAAGCAGUUCGAGGCUUAUGCCAGAAGCGCAAAGCGACUGGAAUGGCUGAGAGCGUGCCUGUUGAAGAAUGAUCCGGCGAGUUAUUGGUAGGUGCAAGGUUAAUUAUUAUGUUAACGCAUAUUAAGCAGCCGUAGCGAAAGCAAGUCUGAAAGGGCGAAUAGUACCUAUCAUUAGACCCGAAGCCAAGUGAUCUAUGCCUGGACAGAGUGAAUCCCCUUUAACCGGGGGAGGAGGCUCGAAGCGUCGACCGUUGAAAAGGUCUUGCAUGAGCUGGGUAUAGGGGUGAAAGGCCAAUCUAACUUGGUGAUAGCUGGUUCUCCUCGAAAUAGCUUUUGGGCUAAUGGUGUAGCGUUAAGUCAAAGAGGUAGAGCACUGGAUAGUUUAGCGGGUGUAACCCACUUUGCAAUGCUAACCAAACUCCGAAUUCUUUGAUGUAUCUCUAUGGAGUCAGUACGUGUGGGAUAAGCUUCACGUGCAAAAGGGAAACAGCCCAGACCAUCAAUUAAGGUCCCAAAGUAUAUGCUAAGUGGUAAAGGAUGUGGAAUUUCUUAGACAGCUAGGGAGGUUGGCUUAGAAGCAGCCACCCUUUAAAGAGUGCGUAACAGCUCACUAGUCAAGUGAUUCUGCGCCGAAAUCACCCGGGGCUCAAGCAUAUCACCGAAAUUAUGGAUUUUUGCAAUUAAUUGCAAGAGUGGUAGAGGAGCGUUCCUGUCGCAUUGAAGGCAUUCCGUAAGGAGUGCUGGAGUGUCAGGAAGUGAGGAUGUCGGAAUAAGUAGCGAUAAGAGGGGUGAAAAUCCUCUCCGCCGAAAACCUAAGGUUUCCUUGAGUAAAGUUCGUCUGCUCAGGGUUAGUCGAUCCUAAGCCGAGAGCGAAAGCUGUAGGCGAUGGGUAUCAGGUUAAUAUUCCUGAACUAUCUUUGGUGCGUAUAAUGUGUUUGGCUACGCUUUUCAGUAGGUCAUCAUCCGAUUGGAAGUGGAUGUUGCCUCGCAAGAGGGAGGAUUUCGGGUAACCGAGAGAACUGACUGUAUGGGGAGCCAAGAAAAAACCAGACACCUGUGCCAGAGGUAAACGUACCGUAAACGGACACACGUAGGUGGGGUGAAAAUCCUAAGGCGCGCGAGAUAACUUUCGUUUAGGAACUCGGCAUAUUAGCCCCGUAACUUCGGGAUAAGGGGUGCCUGUAGCAAUACAGGUCGCAGUGAAAUGGCCCUCGUGACUGUUUAACAAAAACACAGGACUCUGCUGAAAUCACAAGAUGAUGUAUAGGGUCUGACGCCUGACCGGUGCUGGAAGGUCAAGGGGAGGGGUUAGCCGCAAGGCGAAGCUCUGAUCUUAGCCCCAGUAAACGGCGGCCGUAAAAAUCAUUCCGCCCC
rnacentral:rRNA from 1 species